rnacentral:rRNA from 1 species
UACGGAGGGUGCAAGCGUUGUCCGGAUUUAUUGGGUUUAAAGGGUGCGUAGGCGGCUUAUUAAGUCAGGGGUGAAAGACUAUUGCUUAACAAUGGCAGUGCCUUUGAUACUGAUAGGCUUGAGUACAGCUGAGGCAGAUGGAACGGGUGGUGUAGCGGUGAAAUGCAUAGAUACCAUCCAGAACACCGAUUGCGAAGGCAGUCUGCUAAACUGUAACUGACGCUGAGGCACGAAAGCGUGGGGAGCAAACGGG